rnacentral:tRNA from 1 species
CGGGAAUUAGCGCAGUUUGGUAGCGCGCUUGGUUCGGGACCAAGAGGCCGGGAGUUCGAAUCUCCCAUUUCCGACCA